rnacentral:rRNA from 1 species
AUACGGAGGGUGCAAGCGUUACUCGGAAUUACUGGGCGUAAAGGACGCGUAGGCGGCCUGAUAAGUUAGAUGUGAAAUCCUAUGGCUUAACCAUAGAACUGCAUCUAAAACUAUUAGGCUAGAGUGGGGGAGAGGUCAGUGGAAUUAGUGGUGUAGGGGUAAAAUCCGUAGAGAUCACUAGGAAUACUCAUUGCGAAGGCGACUGACUGGAACUUAACUGACGCUGAGGCGUGAAAGCGUGGGGAGCAAACAGGAUUAGAAACCCCAGUAGUCC